rnacentral:rRNA from 1 species
CAUCAUAGCGGAGGAAAAGAAACCAACAGGGAUUGCCCCAGUAACGGCGAGUGAAGCGGCAGCAGCUCAAAUUUGAAAUCUGGGGUCCCCGACCUCCGAGUUGUAAUUUGGAGAGGCAUCUUCGGGGGGGAGCGCCGGCCCAUGUUCCUUGGGACAGGACGUCACAGAGGGUGAGAAUCCCGUGCCUGGCCGGCUGCCUCCUCCCGGGUGAAGGGCCUUCGACGAGUCGAGUUGUUUGGGAAUGCAGCUCCAAGUGGGUGGUAAAUUUCAUCUAAAGCUAAAUACCGGCGGGAGACCGAUAGCGCACAAGUAGAGUGAUCGAAAGAUGAAAAGCACUUUGAAAAUAGAGUCAAAAAGUACGUGAAAUUGUUGAAAGGGAAGCGCUUGAGACCAGACUCAGGCCCGGGCAAACAUCGCGCCCCUCGGGGCCGUGCAAUUGCCUGGGCCUGGGCCAGCAUCAGUUGGCGUGGCGGGACAAAGGCGCGGGGAAUGUGGCUCCCCUCGAGGAGUGUUAUCAGGCCCGCGCUCAAUGCCGCCGACGUCGACUGAGGACCGCGCCUCGGCUAGGAUGCUGGCUUAAUGGCCUUCAGCGACCCGUCUUGAAACACGGACCAAGGAGUCUAACAUCUAUGCGAGUGUUUGGGCGACAAACCCUUGCGCGGAAUGAAAGUGAGCGGAGGUGGGAACCCCCCAGCGGGGCGCACCAUCGACCGAUCCUGAUGUCUUCGGAUGGAUUUGAGUAGGAGCAUAGCUGUUGGGACCCGAAAGAUGGUGAACUAUGCCUGAAUAGGGUGAAGCCAGAGGAAACUCUGGUGGAGGCUCGCAGCGGUUCUGACGUGCAAAUCGAUCGUCAAAUUUGGGUAUAGGGGCGAAAGACUAAUCGAACCAUCU